rnacentral:rRNA from 1 species
GAUGAACGCUAGCUACAGGCUUAACACAUGCAAGUCGAGGGGCAGCACAGUGUAGCAAUACACGGGUGGCGACCGGCGCACGGGUGCGUAACGCGUACCCAACCUUCCCGUUACUCUCGGAUAGCCUUCCGAAAGGGAGAUUAAUACGAGAUGGUGUUGAAAUUCCGCAUGUUAUUUCAACUAAAGAUUCAUCGGUAACGGAUGGGGAUGCGUGACAUUAGGUAGAUGGCGGGGUAACGGCCCACCAUGCCCACGAUGUCUAGGGGUUCUGAGAGGAAGGUCCCCCACACUGGAACUGAGACAUGGUCCAGACUCCUACGGGAGGCAGCAGUGAGGAGUAUUGGUCAAUGGCCGGAAGGCUGAACCAGCCAAGUAGCGUGAAGGAUGAAGGUUCUAUGGAUUGUAAACUUCUUUUAUACGGGAAUAAAACCACCUACGUGUAGGUGCUUGUAUGUACCGUAUGAAUAAGCAUCGGCUAACUCCGUGCCAGCCGCCGCCGUAAAAC